rnacentral:rRNA from 1 species
ACACGACUACAUUAGAUACCCCUGUAGUCCCAGCCGUAAACUAUGCGCGUUAGGUGUAUCGGUGACCACGAGUUACCGAGGUGCCGAAGGGAAACCGUGAAACGUGCCGCCUGGGAAGUACGGUCGCAAGGCUGAAACUUAAAGGAAUUGGCGGGGGAGCACCACAACAGGUGGAGCCUGCGGUUUAAUUGGACUCAACGCCGGGAAGCUCACCGGAUAGGACAGCAGAAUGAUUGCCGGGCUGAAGACUCUGCAUGACUAGCUG